GACGAACCGAGCGAACGUUAUUCGGAAUCAUUGGGCUUAAAGGGUGCGUAGGCGGGCUCGUGAGUCAGGGGUGAAAUCCCACGGCCCAACCGUGGAAGUGCCUCUGAUACUGCGGGCCUGGAGGGGGAUAGGGGCGUGCGGAACUUCCGGUGGAGCGGUGAAAUGCGUAGAUAUCGGAAGGAACACCGGUGGCGAAAGCGGCGCGCUGGAUCCCUACUGACGCUGAGGCACGAAAGCCAGGGGAGCAAACGGG
rnacentral:rRNA from 1 species